rnacentral:rRNA from 1 species
GAUGAACGCUGGCGGCGUGCUUAAUACAUGCAAGUCGAACGGAAAGGCCCGGCGUUUGUGGCUUUCUCGAUAGCGGAGCGGGUGAGUAACACGUGUGGAACAUGCACUUAUCUGUCUGGGAACAUCUGGGGAAUGGGGCGAAUAUCGGGUAUAAUAUAUUGCUGCGUAUGGUUGGUUGGAAAGUGUCGGCGGUUGGGGAUGGACUCGAGGGUUAUCAGCUAGAUUGUGGGGUAGUUGCUUACCAAGGCUUUGACGGGUAGCCUGCCUGAGAGGGUGAACGGCCACAUUGGGACUGAGAUACGGAACAGAAUGCUACGGGAGGCAGCAGGGGGGAAUAUUGCACAAUGGGAGGAAGCGUGAUGCAGAAAAGCCGCGUGCGGGAUGACGGCAUUCGGGUUGUAAACCGCUUUCGCAUGUGACGAAGAGUGAGUGACGGUAAUGGGUAAAGAAGCACCGGCUAACUACGUG